AAGUCAAGAGGACAAUCAGUGACAAUGUUUCCUGUCCUCCAAGGAUGCAGAAGAUGUCCCCAGCCCACAUCUGCCAGGCCAACCCCAAGUUGGGGCUGACCCUGCAGCACACACAGCCGCAAGAAUUGGGAUUUCCCAAGAGCAACAUCCAUCUGAUAAAAGGUCUAGAGUGGAGGUCCUGCUCCCCAGCCACAGCCACCUGACCCAGGAAGGCUGGGGCCAGGGGCAAGGCAUGUGGUCUGCGCCCUCCAAGGGACCCACGGGCAGCCAACCUGGUUCUAAACAACUGUCUACCUAUUUUCACACAGAGCAACCUACACUGUGUUCCUAGUCACAUCCGAAUGGCUGAGCUCUGAGCCCUGCUGCUCAGGGAAGCUGCUAGAAAGGGUCUCCCGGGGCCAGAUGGAAGGUGGGGCUCGGGGUUGCUUUGUGUUCUUGGGGUGAAGUGCAUGUCUUCACUGUAUCCCUUUAGAAAACAACACCAAACAUUCCCCCCGCCCGACCCUGUGACCAUAUGCACUCUUGUUCCCUGAGAAAUUCUAGAGAAUUUUGGAAAAGCACCAAGAGACAAAAAUAAAUUAUAUCUAUAUGCACACACACGAAG
rnacentral:lncRNA from 1 species